ensembl:lncRNA
GUUAAUUACAGCUGUGACCCAAUUGUUGAAGGAUUUACUUAAAAAAACUUUGUCUCGUUAAUUCCCCGCUACGAACAAAUGAGCAGGCUCCCUACAUUAAAGCCAGCGCUGUAAAGGUUAACUAGCUCUUAAACGGCUGCAUUAGGGGGGCUGCGUGGGGCUGCCUCAUGUUGGCGACCCCCAGGUCACUGGCAGAGGAGCUGGAGAGGCCCAAUAAGGAAAGGGAAACGCAUUUGUACUCCUCGUACUGAAUUUAUGUCGACCAGUCUUGUAGAAAGGGGUCUUGCAUGCUUCUUACGGUUUGUGUGUGUGUGUGUGUGUGUGCGCGUGUGUGUAGCCUGGGGUAAUGCAUUAGACCACAGCGUUGUGUUUUUUAUUCAUAUAUAUAUAAUAAACUAUAAUAUAUAUUUUUUUACAUUCAAAGAUUCCCUCGCAUCAACGUGUUUUCCCCGGGCUCCCUUGCACUUUACUCCCCCGGUGAACAUGCGCUCUUCUAACCCGAACAAAAGACAUGUACUUAAAUCUUCUUUCUUUGUGUCUUCAAAAACAAAAGUAAGAGGAGCAAAACAGGGACGGGGUUAAGGCCGAGAGACAAGUGAGCCCUCAUCACAUCGCUAUUAUCUUUGGGCCAUCUCUCAGUGAGCCAUCACCCAUCAUGGGAGCAUUUGAUUAGGAUCUCUGCAGAAUCAUAACCAACGCAUUGUAAGAGGCCAAUAGAGGUUUUCCACCAAGAGAAACCAACACCCUCCAAGUGUCUUCUGUGUUGCGGCCCAGCUGGGCCCAAACGUUGCAUGCACGCCUGCUGUGCUGUUUGUUUCACUCUAUAGCAUCGACCACCGCCUGGGGGAGGGUUCAAACCGCCAGCGUGUCAAUUAUAAGCAAAAAUGGAGGAGACACGUCCAAAUAAGGUCAGCGGACCUGACGCGGUCCACAGAUCACCCUGCGGGCUCGUCUCGCUGCACAGAGGGAGACCAGGCGCACCUUUGCAAGGAUCAAUCCAGAGGACGUCGUCCAUCUUCCACCUCGUUGCCAGCGCCAGAUCGCUCUUGGAAUCACUCCCUUUUUUAACUCCAUUCUAACGCCAUGGAGCAGAAAAUAAACGAGACUCCCACCAACACAUCGCCUCAGAAGCACAUGAAGAACCGCUCCAAGUCCACGGACGAGCUCCAGCACCCCCGCAGGGCUUUCUCCUCACAGAAGUCCCUGCCAGGGAGACCAGAGCUGGAGCAUGUCAAGGAGGGCCCCGAUGACACGGAGUCCUCCACCUCCUCCACCGAGGAGCUGAAGGAGGAACAGGAGUGACUUCCCCCCGCCCUCCCCCUCCU